rnacentral:misc_RNA from 1 species
UAUGUACCCUUUUUUUUUUCAUUAUAAUUUAUUAUUUAAAUAGCUGCAAGACCAAAACAGGGUGCAAAAAACCGAAAGCCCUUCUUUUAAGUUCCUCCCAGAUACAUGACUUACAUACCCGGCUCAACAUUCUUGGAAAACAAUCGAAUCGAGGGUUCAGAGGAGAAUUGGCCAUUCAAUCUUGUAAACUAAUCGAGACCGAAAUUGGAAAAAGAGAUACGAACGGAGAGGAAUAACCAAUCGAUGAAAGAACAUGAAACCAUUCUGUUUCAAUAGAGGUACGAGAAACGGUUGGGGGCAAUAAAGUAGGUGAAGUGGUUGGAUUUUGCGAGCUGUUCCAACCACUGCUGGAUGUGAUUCCAAGAGCCGAACAAGAAUGAAUACCACACAGAAGAGUCAAGACCAGGCUCCCUAAUGGAAUGUUUAACCAAUCCAUUCCGGAUCGACCGAAUUGGUACGGAAGUUGUAACAUGGGAAAACCACGGAAAACACAACUUAUUUGAAUAACCCGGUGACCUACCAAUUGUAGAAGUAGGAUCUUUGGCAAGCAAUAAGCACUUAAAUAAUACAAUUCGAGUGUACCAUCUUCUUUCUCAUUUCGAGGAAAAGGUGCGGGAGGAAAAGGAAACAACGGAGAGAUCCGAAUCAAACCUAAAUGGAAAUGACAUAAAAAGUCUUUUUCAAAACCUAGCAUUAAGGGCGUUACGACGAUAUACGAGAGGAAUAAAGAAAAACUCGUGAUUGGUGUGGAGGGGAAGAUCUGUUUAUGAUAUAGUUCAAGAAAGAGUCGUCUCAUUUCCUUACUUCUUCGUUCUUUUUUUUUUGUGUUCUGCCAAAAGAAGAAGGUAAAGCCUAUAUAUAACUUUAAAUCUUUCAUAAAUCCAGUAAAAAAAUUCUUUCCAAGAAUGAGGCCUUGGAUUAGUCAGAGAGGUUAGGAAAAAUUUCCAUAAAAAAAUGAAAAGUUUCAUCUUAUAAAUGAUCGGCUCAAAUAGAAAGUAAAAAAAGACUCUCUUCCAUGAUGGAGAUUUCUCAUAAGGGACAUACCAUAGCGAUCUCAGUAAGAAUAUAGAAAAAUAGAAAGUAAAGAGGAAAAGGCAUAACCAGAAGAAUUGUGUAAAAUAAGUGAAUUUAUCCAGUUGAGGCAUGAUGGAUUGAGAUUGAAUUCUUCCCUCCAGACAGCUUAACUCCGUCAAGCCUGUAGGAGUCUUUUUGAAGGAAACGAGAGUUGUGGUUGGUUGUUGACCAAACAAAAGCAUGGGAGUUUUUGGGCGUAAAAGUUACUUUCUUCUUUAUACGAUAUUUAUAGUUAGAUGAAAAGAGGGCUCAGGCAUAACAUAAGGACGAUAUCGGAAUGUCUGAAUCCGAAGCUAUCGCCUUGAUACGAUAGAAUGAGAAGUGAAAUCGAAGUUUCCCGGGCUUCUGUGACGGAGGUUUUCUUAGUCGACCUAAUCAAUCGAUUCCCCUCGGCAUAGUUGAAAUUCAAGUCUUAGUUCUUCCCACUUGGAUGAGCGGUGAAUACCUUUCUAAAGUAAAGAUUUGGCUCGGAUGGAUCCGGAUAGGAUAUUUUCACGCCUUGGCGUCUGGUUAAGACUUCCCCCCCGUCCUUCUCCUUAGGCUGGUUGAACCUUGAGAUAGAAGAGCAAUAUGGAGGGUUUCUCCUGACCCUAAGUUGAAACCAAUCAUUUCUUUCAUCAACAUCAACGAAUCACUAUCUCUCUUUCAUCGGUAGCCUUGCUUUAAUAAAGCUUUAUCCCGGGCUUUGUUUAUUUGUGAAAGCAAAUUAAGAGAAGUGAAGUGGGAGGUGAUUCCACCAACGGUUCCUCUUCCAGGUCAGGUAAGAAGAGAUAUUCAAAAUCGCCUAUUUUAUCCCAUCAACUGAGAGAGAUUAUUUCAUAGGUAAUUAUUAGUAUAUGGGGUCUAUGUGGUUCUUUAUACAUUGAUUUCUGGUCUUUGUUGACCCCUUAUAUUAAGUUAAGUAAGGGGAUUACCUUCUGAGGAUCCUAAAAUAAAGGUGCUUUAGAAAACCAGGAAUCGGUAUUUGAACCCCGUCUACCAUUUACAUACCAGGAAGGAGCAGUCCAUAGACGGACUCAGCUACAGCAAUAGAGAGCGAGCCUAGGCAAUGGGAGGUUCGCAUUUGCCCAAAGAAGUGCUUUAGUAGCAGAAUUUGAAAAGGAAUUGAUCGUGAUAAGUACAAAAAGAAUAAGAUAGGGAGAGCAAUGGAUGACUUCCCAAGUAGUUGGUUAGCUCGUGCAUCAUGGGCAAGCGUGACCUGAUCCGUGGUCAAUUAAGACCAGAGAGAGCUCUUUUUUCUUGCAUCAGCUAUGAGAGAGCCGGUAAAGCAGUUGACAUACAGAACCCUGAACCAUGAGAAUUGCCGCCUAGUAAAAGAUACCCCGCGUCAAACAUUUUGCUGCCAACCAAAACCGAUUUCCUUUCUUUCCCAGAAAGCUCGGUAAGAGAGACGGUUGCACCUUGCUCUUCUGAGGCAUUUAUUUCACUAGCCUUUUUCUUGACACAGCCUUCCAGCUUCACUCCAUCCCUAGUAGAUUAGAGCACUGAAAGGGGGAGGAACUUCAUUGCAUCUCUUGGUUCGAGAAAAAAAAAAAAGAAAGGUUAGAACUCAUUCGUUGUGGAUUUCCACCAACUGCUAAUGCCUAAUUGUCAAAAAAUCCGUCCCAGAUAGAAGAACUCCACUUUGGCGGUGGGCUUAGACUAGUCCCCGUCUUCCUCGCCAGUAGCUUUCAAAGGGUUGAAAGCGAGUAAGAGCUGCAAGCGAAUUCAGAAUUCUCUUACACGAUCAAGGCAGGUUUUAGAGAGAAUAGCCGGCCCCGACCGCUUCAAAAGCAAAGCGGGGCUGCUGGAAAGAUUCCUAUAGCGGGGAAUCCAUCGCCGUUCAGGAACAAGCUGAACGGAUCUUUUCCGAUAUUCGUCUUCGACGAAUUCGUGAAGCGGAUAUUGAUCAAUAUCAGUUUGUACCGGAGGGGGGAGGGGUAAUCCCUUUUCCCUUAAUCCUGCCUGGGAAGAAGAGAUUGACGAUUUAGCUCUAAGAGCAAAUUCUAAUGAUCUCGACGUAAAUUCAAAGUCAAGGCCUUGCUCUUAAACUAUCACCCUGAAAGAAGAUACCCAAGUUUGGUGAUACUUGAAUUUUUUCCCUUGUCCUAACUGGCCAGUCAGUAUUUGGUGGUUUCAGAGUGAGUUCGUUGAAACGGGAUACCCGUGCCGAUAGAAUCUCUGGAUUCAAGUGCUCGGUCAGAUAUCUUUCCCUUUAUAAAUAGAAAUCGGCUUUCUGCCUUUAUUCGGCUAAGUUUUAGCUUUAGCGUUGGGACUGAACACUUAGGGCAUGAAAUGCCGGAUAAGCAUAGAGUGGGGUUGGGGUAUGCAUUCAAUGCCUAGUCGGCUGCCAUAGAGUGGGCAUAAAAUGCCAAGUCGGCUAAGCAUGCCAUAUCGGUCUGAGAAGUAUGACCUUAGAAUACGAUAUUAGAAUAAGCAUGAAAUGCUAAGGGAAAAUCG